GUCUACGGCCAUAACACCCUGAACAUGCCCAAUCUCGUCUGAUCUUGAAAGCUAAGCAGAGUCGGGCCUGGUUAGUACUUGGUGGUGUUUUUU
rnacentral:rRNA from 1 species